rnacentral:sRNA from 1 species
UGUGUUGCAUGUCCUCAUCUUGCUAAUACAAUGGGGCUUAAUAUGAAUGGAAGCCUAUACUACGGGCCUCGAGGAAGGACAAGGGUUCUCCAAAUAUAUCUAUAAUUGUGAGUUUUGAUGUUAGGUCUGAAACGUACAAAAACUCCAAUGUACCAAGCAAACUUCUACCAAUGGACACUUCU